CCUACGGGAGGCAGCAGUGAGGAAUAUUGGUCAAUGGACGAGAGUCUGAACCAGCCAAGUAGCGUGAAGGAUGACUGCCCUAUGGGUUGUAAACUUCUUUUAUAUGGGAAUAAAAUGUUCCACGUGUGGGUUUUUGUAUGUACCAUAUGAAUAAGGAUCGGCUAACUCCGUGCCAGCAGCCGCGGUAAUACGGAGGAUCCGAGCGUUAUCCGGAUUUAUUGGGUUUAAAGGGAGCGUAGGUGGAUUGUUAAGUCAGUUGUGAAAGUUUGCGGCUCAACCGUAAAAUUGCAGUUGAUACUGGCAGUCUUGAGUACAGUAGAGGUGGGCGGAAUUCGUGGUGUAGCGGUGAAAUGCUGAGAUAUCACGAAGAACUCCGAUUGCGAAGGCAGCUCACUGGACUGCAACUGACACUGAGGCUCGAAAGUGUGGGUAUCAAACAGGAUUAGAUACCCCUGUAGUC
rnacentral:rRNA from 1 species